rnacentral:antisense_RNA from 1 species
CUUCACUUUCAGAGACUUCAGAGUUCCAUGUCUGCUGUGCUGUGGAACCCAGAGUGCUCUUGCCUGGAUGGCUGAGAAUCCCUUGGACCCUGGAAGCACCUACUCCAUGAUGGCCCGCAGGAGGACCAAACUGGAGACAGUCCUGGCUCUGAGAAACAGGAAGGAAGGAGGGUGAAAGGAAGGUCCACCUGCACACAAAGGAAAGAUGAAAAAGAAUCACCUACCAUGGGAGCUGGCAAAGUACUUCAGAACUUUUAUUCCUUCCAGAAGCAGGUAAGUACCCCAAGUCCUCAUCGUAUUCCCAGCACAGGGCUUGGUAUACGGGGGGAUAUUUCAUUCAGCAUAUUGGCUGAAUGAAAGGUCUGAUGGGUAUACCUGGGAGAAGGUCCUUAGGGACAUGGCUUAAAAAAUAAAAAUGAGAGAGGGGCAGGGCAGUGAGUCUAAAAGGAUGUGGAUGCUCACAUCUGCUCUUACAAUCAUGCUACAGUUCAUUUAUUGAAUGGAAACAGUUCCCUACUUAUUGACAAUUCAUUUAUUGAAUAGGUAAUCAGUUAAUACAUUUUGUAUCAAUCUAACAAUUAGGCAUAAACUACAGCCUCCUACACCCAAUAUCUGAGGUGUUCUAAGAUUUAACUACUCAAAUGUUUGAUAUUUGAUAAAUUGCUUAAGUUCUCUGCAAUUCAGUUCCACUUCCUAUAACAGCACUUCUGAAAAUGUGGUCUGUGAACCUCUGAGGGGUUCCUGAGACACUGUCAGGGAGCAAGUGAGACAUGACUAUUUUUAUAAUAUAGGUAC